rnacentral:ncRNA from 1 species
UGAAACUUAUAUACUCUCGUAUAAAGCCGGGGAUAGGGCCCGGAAGUCUCUACCCGAGAACCGUAAAUUUUCGGACUACGAGUGAAUACGUC